rnacentral:rRNA from 1 species
UACGUAGGGCGCAAGCGUUGUCCGGAAUUAUUGGGCGUAAAGAGCUCGUAGGCGGCCUGUUACGUCUGCUGUGAAAUCCCGGGGCUUAACCCCGGGCCUGCAGUCGAUACGGGCAGACUAGAGUGCGGUAGGGGAGACUGGAAUUCCUGGUGUAGCGGUGAAAUGCGCAGAUAUCAGGAGGAACACCGGUGGCGAAGGCGGGUCUCUGGGCCGUAACUGACGCUGAGGAGCGAAAGCGUGGGGAGCGAACAGG